CAAAUUCCGUAGCGCUGUACAAUGGGUGGACUAACAGACACAUAAUUGAGAUCAGACCACUGACGUACAGGAACAGAGGGGGUUGAGGACCCUGCUCGAUGAGCUUACAUGCUAGAGGGAGUGGGGUAUAGUGACACAAAGGGUUAAAGUAGGGGAAUUAAAUAGUUUGUUACAGAAGGGUUUAUUGAGUGCUUGGUGGGUCAUUUUUGACAGUUGCAGGAAAGGAGUCAUGGGGUGAGGGAUGAGAAACCUGCUGACAGUUUAAUUGAUACGCUUUAAUAAAGUGAGUUUUCAAAGAUUUUUUUGAAGGAGUGGAGGCUGGGUGAAAGUCUGAUUGAGGAGGGAAGGGAGUUCCACAGAAUAGGUGCAGUCCUGGAGAAGUCUUGAAGGCGAGCAUCAGAGGUGGGGAUCCGGGCAGAGGAUAGGCGUAGGUCUUUCCCUCUUGAGCUUCACCUCCACUUGAUCCAAACAUUUUUUCCCCAAAAUGAUGGCAAGGUUCACAUUUGUCAGAACCAAAUUUUUGACGAAUUAAUUUGUACUAACCAAAUUGUUUUACCAUGCACAAGUCUGGUGAUUAGUGACGUGAAUGAAAGGGGACAGCUAUUGAUAGGAUAAAAUAAUAUAAUCAAUCCACCAUUUUAAGUAAACAUUCUGUUUUGAUGUUUACUUCUCAUAAUUGCUUAGAAAUAUUAUCCAUAUUUAUUGAAACCUCACAGUGGGGUUGUUAUCUGAGUCAAUUCUCCAGGCCUGUGGGUGGUUUGUGCUGAUUGACCCGUACAUAGCUGCAGCUGAAAUAUUCCCCACAGACAGACAUUUAGCCAUAACAGCUAUAGAAAUAAAAAAUGGCAUAAUUAAGUAAAUAACGAGCCUAAAUGUACAACGUUGAACAGUUACAAAAAUGCAAUAAUAGUAUUAAGCACUAGCUUUGAAACUCUGUGAUAAAUGCUUUCAUUCUUUACUCUGGAAUAAAAAAUAAUCCAAACAUUCUUCUGGUGAUCAUCUACAAUCAUCACCAACCAUCAUCAGUGAUGUAGAAUUAUUAAAAUCUUUAUUAGAAC